UCACUAGUUUUAUGGUCAUUCUUCUCUUGCUCACCAAUAGAUGGGAGCAGAGAUUUCUCGACUCGUGAGAUUUUCAGGCUACAGCACUUGCAGUUUUUUGAAGACUAUAAGGGGCAAAAAAAAGAAAACCAAACAAUGACAAUAUAACUCAUUCAUGUGUCCACAGGGAGAAGGACAUUGUUUUGUUUAGUGGCAUACAAAUGAGAGUUGUAAUGGGAGUCAAAUGGAAACCAGGAGUCAGCACUCCUGAAUUCUUUAACCUUGGGAAUCUCUGGUUUGGUAUCUAGCGCUGGUCAAAGGUAUUUAAUACGUUUACAACCCCUCAUUGUUAUUUCCCAGAUAUAAGUGUGUUUUGCUUGGAUCCAAGCCUUUACAAAAGCAAAUAAACAUGUCCUAAACUUCCAUUCAUUUUUCUUACUAGAUCAAAGAGGAAAAGCUGUCCAGAAGUAAAAAGCUAAGCCUCUAAUGAGAUGAUCAGUGAGUUGUUUCUCUCUUGUACUAUAAGCAUUUAAAUUAUAGAAUUGCACUUAGGGCACUCUGCACUUCUGACUGGUGUAGCAGGAUCCAGACAAAUCACUUUAGAAAUUAGCUUUCAGCAUAGGUCUGACCUGGCCUCUGACCUUUCAUCAGAGACAAGCCAAAUGCUGGCUGUUAAUUGUGCCUGGCACUCCUCGAGGGGUGUGGACACACCAUGAGGAGUUUCCUACCAGCAAGAAGCUGUUUGCCAGAAGCAAAAUCUUGGAUGGCAGUGGAACAGCUGCACAGGUACCAGCUGUGUGACACUGCAGUGCCUCUCUGCACUGAGCACAGCGGGGUCUGUCUGUAGUAGAUGCUUGCCUUGGAGAGGCAGGAAGGUCCCGGCACAAAAGCUACAACUAAACCUGCACCGAUUUGAAAAAUCCCUCACAAUCAACGAGGUUCGUGAAGGUCCUGAGUCACUGACUCAGGGAGUUGCCAAAACCUUUUUGUAAUCCUGUGCUGUUAAACUAGAAAAUGCUUUUUUAAACCUAUUUACUGAGAUGAGUUUGCAUAGCUUGGGGUUUGUUUGGUAGGGGGAAUUUUGGUUAAUUCAUAGUGGGAAUAUAAAUGAUCUUGGCUUUGAACUGCAUUUCUCAGCUUUUUUCAUGUCAUUUGCUUUACUCCAGGGGAUAGAUCUCUCCAGCUGCCUUUCAUGACAUGGCCUGAAGCAGGGGUCUGAAGUGAUUUUUUUUUUUUUCUCUUCCCUUCUGGCAGUAAUCCUACAGAUACCACUGGUCUUAACUAGCACAGCCAGAGCUGAAGUUGCCAAGAACUCUGGAAAAAAAAAGGGAGGAAAACAAAGUCAACCGACUGCAUGCCAAGGAGGAGGCAGAAAAACAGGUACCUCUGGAGCCCUCUCCACGCGAUGCUAUGGAGGGACUUUUUUACCCUGUGGAGAAAUACCAGGGUUGUAAUUCCCUACGGAGAAAGCUGAAAGAAGAAGCUUUGACUCAACGCCCAGCUUUUAGAUGCCUAAACUGAGGCUUUUGUUUGGAGAACCUUUCCAUCUGGAUGAGUAGCGGGAACAGGAAAGCAUUUGAAGCUGGGAAAACUACCAUCCUGCUGCCUAUAAAGCACUGAUAGGAUUUUUAUGUGGAGCCCUAAAGAGAAUGACACGCAGUGCUUUUAUUUUGCCAAAUGCGAGAGCUCAGAUGUUUGCAAGCAAAACAAAAUAAGCUGAGGCAUUGAAAGCCCUUCCUGAAAUGUGCCUGGUGGCUGACGCCGUGGCACGUCCCCCAGCACAUGCAUUGUGCAGGCUCUGCCUCAUGUGGACCCCUGGGCACAGCAGCACCACUGCUGAGAUCCUGCUCAUGGCACCCCCUGCACAAAGAGGAAGGUAAUUAGCAGAGAAAUGACUAUUGGCGCAGCUAGAAAGUAGACAAGUAAUCCUUGGGGGUUUAGUUCAUUGCCUCCUUGUUUUCAAACCAGCGCCUAAUCUUCCCAGACCCCACUCCGUGGCUGCUCCUUUCUUCCUUUCUGUUCUCCUUCCCCCUUUUUGCAGGGACUAUGGCUAAUUCUGAUUCACUCCAUUUCUUUCUUCCCAAACAGCCACAGGGCAGCCUGGCUGUUGCCAGGGAUAUAGUAAAUGCAUGUG